AUUUAAUAAUUUUAAAAGCCACACAGUGCUGCUUCAGAGAGAGAACAAAUGAAUGAAUAUAAAAAUGAGUGAGAAAGAAGAAGAAAGGAAGGAAGAAGAAAAAGAAGGGAGGAAUAAAGGAGAAAAGGAGAUAAUUGUGUUGAAAAAGGGAGCUUGGCAAACUUGUAAACUGAUACCUUAACCUAAUCCAAACCUAGCUUUGGGUUAGAAAGGAAAGAUUCCUUAGAAAAACAUAACCAGGUAGAUUAAGAUGAGAUUUCCUCCUCCAUAACCUUCUUUUAUUUUGCUUUGUGUACACGUCAUAGGCAUACCAAGAACAAACAAGGGAGCAGUUUUUGCUGUUGAGUACCUUUGGACUUUCAGUAUACAACUGUCUGUAGUAGGUCCUAUUCUAAGAUACAGUUUUGAGCACAGUGUCCAAAAUUUAUGUGUGGAAAUGGUUGUAAAAUCCUAGGUAAAUGUUGCACUAUAACCAAUUUAACAAUGAUUUAUCUGGGCAAAAUUUAUGGGUUUGUUUCCUUUCUGUGUUAAGAAAGAUUUAUGUUUCAAUAGGCUUAGAAAGACACCUACUGGAUUGUGUGUCCACAGUAAUAGAUAAUAUAAACCUACUAAGCCAAAAUCUGGCUUCAGGGUAACAUUACAAUUUCACAGACUGGAGUCUAGAGUGCUAUGACCCUCUCUGGUGAACUAGGACAACAGUGCUCGUGGUCUCUUCACUGUGGAAGGAAGGUCAGCUACCCAGUGUGCCACCUUCCCAAACGAACUAGAUUAUUGCUGGAAAAGGAAAGUUCUAGAAUUCUUGAAGCAGUUUCUGAUAUUGGGACUUCAUUUUUUUCUUUUAUUUCUUUUUAUUAAAAAAAUUUUUUUUAAUGUUUAUUCAUUCCUGAGACAGGGAGACAGAGCGCGAGCAGGGGAGGGACACAGAGAGAGAGGGAGACACAGAAUCCAAAACAGGCUCCAGGCUCUGAGCUGUCAGCACAGAGCCCAAUGCGGGGCUCGAACCCAUGAACUGUGAGAUCAUGACCUGAGCUGAAGUCGGACGCUCAACCGAGUGAGCCACCCAGGCACCCUGGGACUUCAUUUUUAAAUGUAAACACGGGUCUUUCCACUGCUUAUAUCUUUUUGACAUUAUAAGUCAUGAAUUCAACGUGCUUACCCAGUAAUAACCUUGGUUAUAUAAGAAGGUUAACCUGAGACUUUAUAACAAUUUGAUAUGGACACAUCCUUAACAGUAUAUCAAAGAUUCUAGGAGUAGAACAAGUUUCCUGAUGCAUAUGGGUGGUAUAGAGGCAUAAGCCUAUGCCCGGUGCAUAGGAUGUCUUUGGAAACAGCUACCUGCCCCCCUUCCACAGGAAUAUAGGAGUAGAUUCCUGACAGUCCUUGUUUUUCCGUGAGACUCUUCAACACAUACAUUUCUGGUCAUACCAGUUGGACCACAGGUAGAUUCAUUAUUCUAAUUGGCCAAUCAGAUUCUCAUUCCUGAGAAUUUAAAAUCAGAUGUGAAGAAGGACCAUAUUAGUCUGUCUCUUCCCAGUGGAUCCAUAUCCUACUAACUAGGGACUUGGUCACGGCCAUUUUCUGCUUUGAGUGUGGGUGGCAGACAAAAGUUAGUCUUCAGGGACAAAGAAGAAAAAAACAGAUAUACAGAAAGGAGCAGAGACAAAACAGAUUAUUUCCUAGGUUCCAGUGCACAGUUCCAGGCCCUUCUUGGUGUCUGUCUGCAUACCAACCUUUGAGUUUUAUGAGACAUCCUGUAUCUUUGUAUAAAAUUACCUUUCUUCUUGCUAAAGGGAGCUCCAGUAGGAUGCUGUUACUUACAAAUAAAAGUACGAACUUUACAAAAUAUGACAAUGUAGUGCAUAAGCAAAAAAAAAUUUAAAAAUAAAGUAAAUGUAUCAAAGUUGCAGACUUUUAUGCCUUAUGAAGAAUUAUAUACGAUAUACAAAUAUCUAAUGCAUAAUAACUGCCAUCACUGUUGCAUAAUAAAACCACAUUAGAAUUAGGGUGGGAACGAGUGGCCUACUGGUAAAUCUAAUUCAUUAUAUAAAAAGCUCUAAACAAGUCUGUAACCUGGUCUUUUGACCUCUCCCUGAAUUGCUUUAUAGAGCUCUUCGAAUAAUUUUUUUAAGUUUUUAUUUUUAUUUUUGAGAGAGCAUGAGCAGGGGCGGUGCAGAGAGAGAGGAAGACAGAGGAUCUGAAGGGGUCUCUGCGCGGACAGCAGAGAUCCCAAUGUGGGCCUUGAACUCACGAACCAUUAGAUCGUGACCUGAGCUGAAGACAGAAAAUGCUUAACUGAGUCACCUAGGCACCCCCAGAGCUCUUAGAAUAAUUUAAUGUAUUCUGAUACAUUAUAGCAAUAGUUAUCUUAAUGUGGGAGGAGAAAAGGACAUCAGAGAAUCACUGGAGGAGUUUUUCCAUUAGCAUCACUUGCCCUAAACAGAAGGCAAUUAUAAAAAUUAAUACAAUAGACUUCCGCUUCUGGGAAGAUGGGGUAGACAUACUUUUUCCAGUUCCACUCUCUAAGUACAGCAAAAAUCCCUGGACAUUACAUAUUCAACAAGCAUAAGAAAACUCUGAAAGACGGAGAGAAGAAAGCAGACUAGCUGGACUAGAGACCAAGCAGUGACAUGGUAGUGAGUUCCCUGGGUUUGCUUUUUCCUCAUAUAUCCCAGACUUGGAGCUUAAGAAGUCAGAAAUGCCAAAAACAAAACAAAAAACUCUAACCAAAGAAUGCUCUCUUUAGCCAAAGGGUUAGGAAAGGGGCAACCUAGCAAGACAGAAAACUUUUGGAAAAUAACCACUGUACUCCAGCCAAACAACAAAGAAAAGACUGUGGCCCUACCUUCACCCAUGGUAGCAAAGGCCAGGUGAGUAGCUUAGAUUUCCACCUUUGCUGGAAUUUCUUUUUCUUUUUUUUCUUUUCUUUUCUUUUCUUUUUCUUUUUUUUUUUUUUUUUUGAGAGAGAGACAGAGAGGGUGCACACUGUCAGCACAGAGCCCGACACUAGGCUCGAACUCAUGAACUGUGAGAUCAUGCCCUGAGCCAAAGUCAAGAGUCAGAAGCUUAACUGACUGAGCCACCCAGGCACUGCUACCCUUGCUGGACUCUUCAUGAGGUGCACCACCACUAGGUGGAGUAGAGAAUAGGGGCUUUUAUCCCCACCAGGGGGUAACAAGCCCCAUGCAAACACUUGGUGUCAGUGGAGACCACAUGGAAAACUAGACUUCCACGUCCAUUGACAGGAGGCACCCCUUUCUGUCUGCUGGGGUAGAAUCAGAAAAGUCCUAGUGGAGAGUCAGUAUUUUUAUAGUAACAAGGCCACCCCUUCUUCCCAACACCUCACUCAUCCCCAACACCCCUCACCAUUUGUGGUGUAGUGUUAAUGAAAAAACAUGUGGGAGCAGUAAUGAGGUAUUCGUAUCCCUUCCAACCAGGGAGGUAUCACUGGAAGCCUGGUGGGAAGCCAGUACUCCCACCCCUACCCAGCAGUAACAAGGAGCCUCCCAUUAGGGUGUCAACAAAGUCUGAGUGAAGAACCUGGACUUCUGAACCAGGACUACCUAACCUGGUGGUAAUUAGAUGGUGCUCCACUUUUCCUGUUGGAGAGGUGUGAGAGGAAGCCAGCUAAAACAGAAAGUUAAAUAAGGUCCAGAUUGUUAUAAUAUUCAAAAUAUUCAGAUCUCAACCAAAAUUCACUUAUCAUACCAAGAUCUCAGACUGAGUGAGAAAAGACAAUCAAUAAAUGCCAACACUACAACGAUAAAGAUGUUAGUUAUCUGACAGAGAUUUUACGGCAGCCAUCAUAACAUUGCUUCAGUGAGCAAUUGUGAACGCAGUUGAAUCAACUGAAAAAAUAGUCUCAGCAAAGAAAUAGGAAGUCUCAGCAAAUAUUUAGAAGAUACAAGGAAAAACAAAUGGAAAUUUCAGAACUGAAAAGAUAUAAUAACAAACAGCUCAGUUGAUGGGCUCAACAGCAGAAUGAUAGGGACAGAGGGAAAAGUUUGUGGACUGGAAGAUACAGCCACUGAAAUUACCCAAUCUGAACAACAGAGAGAACAUAGAGUAAAAAACAUCAAGAAGAGCCUCAGAGACCUGUGGGACUAUAACAAAACUGCUAAUGUUCAUAUCACUGGAGCCCCAGGAGAGGAGAGAGAGAGUAGGGCUUAAAAAGUUCCCUAAGAUGUAAUAUCUAAACACUUCCCCAAUUCACCAAAAACCAUAAACCUACAGAUUUAGGAAGUUGAAAGAACUUCCAAAUAGGAUAAAUCUGAUACACCAAAGCACAUUAUAAUCAAACUUCUAAAACCUGAAGACAAAAAAAAUCUUCAAAGCAACCAGAGAAAAAAAGCACCUUACCCACAAGGGAAAAAAAAAAUUUAAACAAUAGUGGAUUUCUUACCAGAAAAUAUAGAGGCCAGGAGGAAGCAACAUAACAUGUUUUAAGUGAUGAAAGAAAAAAACUGUCAACCCAGAACCCUAUAUCCAGUAAAAUAUUGUUAGGGAAAUCAAAACAUUCUCAGAUGAAGGAAAACUAAGAGAAUUUCACCAGCAGACCUAGCCUUAAAAAAACGUCCAACAGAAGUUAGAAUUUCUCUAAAUGGAAAGAAAAGGAAUUUUUUUAAAGGAAUCUUGGAACAUCAGGAAGGAAUAAAGGACAUAGUAAGCAAAAAUAUAGGUAAGUGCAAUAGAUUUUCCUUCUUCAGUUUUCUAAAUUACAUUUGAUGAUCGCAUCAAAAAUUUAUACCACUAUCUGAUAUGGUUCUAAAUGUAUAUAGAGGAAAUGUAUUAAAGGCAAUUACAAUAUAAACAGAAGGAACAUAAAUAUGUGCAGCAAAAACUGAUAGAACUGGAAGGAGAAAUAGAUAAAUCUACACUUAUAGUUGGAGACUUCAGUGCCUCUCUCUUAACAAUUUAUAGAACAAACUAGACAGAAAAUCAGCAAGGCUAUAGAACUGAACAGUGGCAUCAACUAAUAGGAUAUAAUCAACAUUUGUAGAAUAUUUCACCUAACACACAUUCUUACCCAUGGAACAUACACCAGAAUAGACCAUAUCCUGGGCAAUAAAACAAAUCUCAGAAAAUUUUAAGGAAUGAAAUAAUACUGAGUAUAUUCUCCAACCACAAUGGAAUCAAACUGGAAAAUUUGAAAGGUAACAGGAAAGUCUCUAAAUGGAAACUAAAUAACACACUUCCAAGUAACCUAUGGGUCAAAGAGUAAGUCUCAAGGGAAAGAAAAAUACAUUGAAAUGAAUGAAAAUGCAACAUAUCAAAUUUUGUGGGACCAGCUUCUGCAGUGCUGAGAGGGAAAUUUAUAGCAAUAGAAUGCACACAUGAGAAUAAGAGGAAAAGUCACAAAUCAGUAAUCUAAGUUCCCAUCUUAAAAAACUAGAAAAAGAACAAAAUAAAUCCAAAGUAAUCAAAUGAGGAAAUAUUAAAAAACAGAAAUUAAUAAAAUUGAGAACGGAAAAACAAUAGAGAACAUCAAUGAAACAAAAAAGCUUGUUCAUUGGAAAAAUCAAUUAAGGUGACAACCUCUAUCUAGCAAGACUGACCAAAAAAAGACACAAAUUACUAACAUCAGAAAUGAAACAUGAGAUAUCAAUAGACCCUGCAGAUAACAAUAUGAUAAAAAUAGAAUGCUACAAACAACUCUGCACACAUACAUUUGACAAAUUAAAGACCAAUUCUUAAAAAGUUCAAACUACCUCAACACACCUAAUGUGAAAUAGAUAAUUUGAGUAGCCCUAUAAUUAUUAAGGAAAUUGAAUAAUUUUAAAACUCUACAAAAGAAAUCUGGUGGCUCAGAUGGUUUCACUAGAGAAUGCUACCAAACAUUUGAAGACUUUUAGGAAAUAGAAGAGGAGGGACCACAUCCCAAUUCAUUUUAUAAAAGUAGUAUUAGCCUGAUAUGAAAAACAAAUAAUUACAAAGCUGCAGGCCAAUAUUACUCAUUUAUAAAAAUGCAAAAAAUAUUUUUUAAUUUAUUUUGAGAGAAAGCGUGAGUCGGGAAGGGGCAGAGAGAGAGGAAGAGGGAGAGAAUCCCAAGUAGGCUACAUACUAUCAGUGUGGAGCCCGAUGCAGGGCUCAAACCCAUCAACCGUGAGAUCAUGACCUGAGCCAAAAUUAGACGUUUAACUGACUGAGCUGCCCAGGGGCCCCAAGAUGCAAAAUGAUUAAACAAUGUUAACAGAUAAAACUCAGCAAUAUACAGUAAAACCUUGGUUUGUGAGUAUAGUUUCUUCCAGAAACAUGCUUGUAAUCCAAGGCACUUAUAUAUCAAAGCAAAUUUUCCCCUAAGAAAUAAUGGAAACUCAGAUUAUUUGUUCUACAACCCCAAAAUAUUCAUAUAAAAAUGAUUACAGUACUGUAAUAUAAUACAAAAUAAUAAAGAAAACACAAAAUAUAAAGAAAAAUAAAUUAACCUACACUUACUUUUGAAAACCUUCAUGGCUGGUGUGAAGGAGACAGAGAGGAGGGUUAUUGUGUAGGACAACUUUCACUAUCACUGAUGGAAUCACUGCUAUCUAUUGGCUCAGUGGAAUCUUUUCUGCAUGGGGGCCAUUGUAUGUGUUUGCUCAGAUGUUGACUGUAGUAUAGUAUUAAUAAACUCUUGUCAUAUACUGUAUUUAGUGUAGCUGGCAAUAAGGCAGAAAAGGAAAGGUUCUAUAUCUAAAGGCAGCCUGACCUAGAAUGAAGCCAAGCAUUCCUAAGCUUACUCUUGUAUGGAAAAGCAAAGGACCGUCCAUAGGUGCUUUGAAGUGACAAAAAUACACUAGUGCUAGUUGUGGGCACUUUCCAGCGUUCUGAAAAAUCACUCAUUUCUCCCAAACACCUUGGCCUGAGACCGAGCAUCUGAGCAUAGGAGAGACGAUCACCCACAAUCCCACAGCGAGUGAAAGAAAAAGAGAGAGAAGAACCAUUGGCUCAGUUGUGAUCAUGUGAUGUUUGGCAUCACAUACUACUCAUAUUGUAAGACAUCGCUCAUUUAUCAAGUUAGAAUUUAUUAGAAAUGUUUUCUCAUCUUGUGGAACACUCGCAGAACAAGUUACUCGCAAUCCAAGGUUUUACUCUCUAUAUAUUUUUUAAAUCAUACUCCAGGGUUACCUGGGUGGCUCAGUUGGUUAAACAUCCAACUCUUGAUUUCAGCUCAGGUCAUCCUCUCAGGGCUCUGAGAUCGAGUCCCGCAUUGGGCUCUGCUCUGGGUGUGAAACCUGCUUGAGUCUCUCUCUCCCUUUUCCUUUGCCUCUUCCUCUCUCUCUCUUUCUCUAAAAAAAAAUAAAAAAUCAUACACCAAUCAUGCACCAUACACCAUGACCAAGUGGAAUUUGUUUCAGAGAUGUAAGGUUGUCUCAGUAUUUGAAAAAUCAAUGUACUCCACCAUAUUAGCAGGCUAAAGAAGAAAGCACACAAUCAUAUUUAUCAAUGCAGAAAAGGCAUUUGACAAAAUUCAGCACCUAUUUAUGUUUUUUUACUAGUUUAUUAUUAGAGAGAGAGAGAAGGGGAGGGGCACAGAAAGAGAGACAGACAGAGAGAGAGAGAGAGAGAGAGAGAGAGAGAGAGAAUUCCAAGCAGGCUCCACACCGUCAGCACAGAGCCCAAUGUGGGGCUCAAACUCACAAACCAUGAGAUCAUGACCUGAGCUGAAAUCAAGAGUCGGACAUUUAACUGACUGAGCCACCCAGGUGCCCCAGGACCUAUUUAUGGUGAAUGCUCUUAAAAAAAAAAAAAAAAAAAAAGGAACUAACUUCCCCAAGUUGCUUUUUUAAAUUUUAAUCUACAAAAAAACACUACAACUAGCCUUAUAUUCAGUGAUGAAAGACUGAAUGCUGUCUUCCUAAGAUCAGGAACAAGACAAAGAUAUCUACCCUCACUCCUCUUAUUCAGGAUCGUGCUGGAAGUUCUAGCCAGUGUGUUAAGGCAAGAAAAGGAAAUAAAAGUCAUAUAGAAUGGAAAGGAAGAGAUAGAACUGCCUCUAUUUGUAAAAGACAUGAUUACUUACAUAGAAAAGUCCUAAGAAACCUACAAAAAAAAAAAAAAAACCUUCUACAACUAAUUAGUGAGUUCAGAAGACUGCAGGAUUACAAGAUAAACACAAAAAUGCAUUGUAUUUCUAUAUGGUAGUAAUGAACAUAUGGACAGUGAAAUUAAAGAUACAAUAAUGUUUAUAAUUACUCAAAAAAUUGAAAUAUUUAAGAAUAAGUCUAACAAAACAUGAACAGGAUGUGUAUGCUAAAAACUGGAAAACACUGGCUAAAUAAAUCUAAGAAUAUCUAAAUACGCGGAAAGAUGUAUUGCAUUCAUGGAUUGGAAGAUUCAACAUGGUAAAUUUUCUCCAGUCAAUUUUUCUCCAGUCAAUUUUCUUCAGUUUAAUGCAAUUCCUACAAAUUCCCAGCAAGACUUUUUGUCAUUAUAGACAAAAUUACUGUACAAUAUAUAUGGAAAAGCAAAGGAACUAGAAAAGCCAAACAAUUAAAAAAAAAAAAGCGGGAGAAAUCAGUCUAUUCAAUUUCAAGACUUGUUAUUAUAUAGUUACAGUAAAAGACUCUGAUCGUGAUGGAGGGAUAGACAUAUAGAUUAAUGGAGCACAAUGGAGAAUCUAGGUACAGACUCACACAAAUAUGCCCAACUGAUUUGUGUAUAUGUAUAUAUACACAUACAUAUGUAUACGCAUACAUACACUAUUGUAAAAUAUGUAAAACAUGCAAUUUGCCAUUUUAACCAUUUUUAAGUAUACAAUUCAGAAGCACUGAUUAUGUUCACAAUGUUGUACAACCAGUACCAUCUAUUUCCAAAACUUUUCCAUCACCCUAAACAUAAACUCUAUAUCCAUUAGGCAAUAAUAUCCUGCUCCCCUCAACUUCUACUUUCUGUCUCUAUGUAUUUGCUUGUUCUAGGUACUUCAUAUAGGUGGAGUCAUACACUAUUUGUCCUUUUGUGUCUAGCUUAUUUCACUUAGCACGAUGUUUUUUCAAGGCGCAUCUGUGGCAUAGCAUGUGUCAGAACUUCAUUCCUUUUUGUGGCUGAGUAAUAUUCCAUUCCACAUUUAGUCCACCCCUUCUUCAGUUGAUGGACACUCAGAGAAAAGCUUAAAAUUUCCCCCUUCCAAAAUAAAAGUGAAAGUAGGUUGCUAUUUGAACAUGGGAAGGUCUCAGUGUUCUUCCACCCAUUCAUGACAAGGGGAGGAAGUCUAGGGGAAUAUAUUUCCCUCCUCACCAACUCCACAUAGGAAAAACCUCAGGAUUUUUAUAUUAGCCAUACUCGGGGCCAGCAGUCAUGCAAGAUUAGAUACUUUUCCCGUCAUUCCUCUCAGAAAUUAUGCCCUUUCUCAGGGUCCAAGGUGAAUAGACAUAAACCAAUUCACAUUAUUUGUUUCAUAUCAAGCAGAUUCAUUGUUUCCCUGUUUACACUUUUAUUCUCAAAAUUAACCUUUAUCCCCAAUAUUAACCAACAGUUAACACUUCAGGGCACCUUGCACGUGCUCGAUAACUAGUUGUUGGAUGAGAGUGAUUUAAGCUAAAAGUGAUCGUCUCUCACCUUAGUCAGUAAAAGCAGUAUGCAACUUAAAGUACUUGUUUUCCUACCAAAAGCCAGGCUGUUCUGAUAUAUUAACCUGGGAAAAUAAUUAGCCUUGAGAAUAGAAAGUCACGAAAAAGUAAGUCAAUUUGCCAGUUAUUCUGGCUGGCCGUGACAUUAGCCUAAGUCUACGGAGGCCCCAAACAAAGGAAGCACUCUUCCAAACGCUAUCUGAUGAAAACGAAACAUUCUAAUUCAUUCUAAUACUCUCAAGAUGAAUAAAUUAAAUACAGCAGAAAGCUUUUGCCACGCUGGCGUAAAGAAUCAAUACCUGAGAUCAAGUGUUAAAUAUCAGGAUUUGAAGUUUUGGUGUGGGCAUGUGAUUUAUUCCACCAGAUCAGAAUCAAUGUAAUAAAUAGCCAGGCUCGGAUGGAGUUCUACUAAGUUCUAAAACGUUAAAACAUUUCCGCAGAACCGUCGGAUGAAAGUCAAAACGUAUUCAAAUUGAAGAAAAUAGCACUCCCAAAUUUAACUUUUAUAUUUAUCGGUCCAGCGGAGUGACAGGGUGAAUAAUUUUGCCCACUACUAGGAUUUGUUCUUAAGUUUUAAAACCUGCCACAAGAAAAGAGUUUCUGGAUAUAUGAGAUAUCAUUAACCAUAUUAAAGGCUCUUCCUCCAUGUAGGGUGUGCCCAAGAAGUAAACGUUUAUUAUGUCAAAGUGUUCGUUCUCGUUAAUGCAUUGUUCGUUUAUUAAAUGUAAUAGAAUCAAGGUUAGCCCACAAGGGCUUGUCUCUGAAAUGCAAAUAACCUAGCCUGAGGAAAAUCCUGCCGCCUGCAAGUGAUCCUCCUGUGGUCAGCAGCGGCGAACCGGCAGCCUGUCAAAGGGCAGGGACAGGGAGCCUCCUCCUCGGGUGUUCUCUCGGACCUAGCAACUGAGGCCUCUUCGGCCCUGGCCAGCCUCAGCCUUGUCGGGUACUCUUGCCUGAUGGCUGCUGAGGACGUAAGCUCGGACCUCGCUUGCCCUAAAGCCUUUUCUCCCGACCUGGGCAGAAAGCCUCUUCGUCUGAAUCCACGCUCUUCGUCGUUUAGUGUCCCAGAAGGACUAAUGUAUAAAAGUUUUGAGCUCCAUGGAGUGGAUUUUUGUGGACGUAUGGAGACAAACCAUUUGGGAUGAGUGCUAAUGUUUAAUAAGCACCUAAAAAUUAACUCAUUCGGGUUAUGUUUUCAAGAAGCAAAACCUCAAAUAGCCAGACAGGACCUAGUUUGUUGAACUAUUUACAAGUAAACAACCUAGGGGUGCCUGCGUGGCUCAGAUGGACGAACAUGUGACUCUUGAUCUCUGGGUGCUGAGUUGGAGCCCCACACUGGGUGCAGAGAUUACUUAAAUAAAUAACAGUUAACUUAAAAAAACGUGCACAUAGGUUAAAACAACAAGGCACAACCUAGAUAAUAAAUGGUGGCCAGGAUGUGGAGAAAAGGGAACCCAUGUGCACUGUUGGUGGAAAUGUAAACUGGUUCAACCAUUAUGGAAAACAGUAUAGAAGUCCCUCAAGAAAUGCAAAAUAGAGCUACCAUGUGAUCCAGCAAUGCCACUUCUGGGUGUAUAUCCAAAGGAAGCCAUCAUCUGGAAGAGACACUUGUACUUCUGUGUUUACUGCAGCAUUAUUUACAAUAGUGAAGGUAUGCAAACAACCUAAGUAUCCAUCAAUGGAUUAAUGGAUUAAAGAAAAUGCUUAUCUAUAUAUACAUAAUGAUGGAAUAUUAUUCAGUCUUUAAAAACAAAGAAAUCUUGGGGCGCUUGGGUGGCUCAGUCGGUUAAGUGUCUGACUUUUGCUCUGGUCGUGAACUCACGGUUUGUGCGUUCGAGUCCCACUUCCGGCUCUGUGCUGACAGCUCAGAGCCUGGAGCCUGCUUCAGAUUCUGUGUCUCCCUCUCUCUCUCUGCCCUUCCCCAACUUGCACUCUGUCUGUCUCUCUCAAAAAGAAAUAAGCAUUAAAAAAGAGAGAGAGGGAAGGAAAUCUUGUCAUUUGUGACAUGGAUAAAACUGGAGGGCAUAUGCUAAGUGAAAUAAGUUAGGCAGAAAAAGAAAAAUACUGCAUGGUAUCACUUAAAUGUGGAAUUUUUUUUUAAUGUCAAGCUCAUAAAAACAAGAGUAGAAAAGUGGUUGAGCAGGGGUUGGGGAGGGAGGAAAUAGGGAGAAGUUGGUAAAAGGGUACAAACUUUCAGUUAUAAGAUGAAAAAAGUCUGAGAAUCUAAUGUAUAAUAUGGUGACUAUAACACUUUAACACUGUAUUGCAUAAUUGAAAUUUGCUAAGAGAGUAGAACUUAAAUGUUCUUACCAAAGGGGGAAGAAAGGAAAUAUGUGAGGUAAUGGUUGUAUUAACUUGAUGGAAGGAAUCCUUUUAAUAUAUAUGAUAUAUAUAUUCAUGUUGUACGCUUUAAAUAGCUUACAAUUCUAUUUGUAAAUUACAUCUCAAUAAAGCUGGAAGAAAAAGUUACAAAACCUUAAAAAAAAAAAAGCAAACACCAAUUCAGGCUUGUGAAUACUUGACUUAACACUGGAUGUUAUACAUAUUACUAAUCUAUAAAACAAUGCAGGUAAAAUGUAUAGAAUGAUUGAAAACUGGUUAGUGUAAUUGACCAUCGUUAGAUUUAAAUCAUUAUAAGCUAUGCAUCAAAUUGAGAGGCUUAUACUGCCACUAAAAGUAUAUUGACAAAUGAGAAAAACAGAACAUAAAAGUUUUAUUUACAACAUAAUUAUAAUAAAAGUGGAUAUGAAUAAAGAGGUUGUAGGAGGGCACAGGACUCAAACUAGAAAAUCAGACCCUUCUCACAGGAGGUUGAGGCUGAUUUGUCCAAUCUGGGUAAGCUGGAGAUGCCUAUAGCUCUUUUUGUUCCUGUCCUUUCUGAGUUCUGGUUAGUCAGGGUUGUCAUCUGUGAGCUUCCCUAUAUCCAUUAGAGUAUUGAGUAUGCUACAAUAAUAGGAGACUCCCCCCUCAAAUACAGUAAUUUAAAUGAGACAGAAGCUUAAUUCUCAUGUAACAGUCCAGAGGUAGAAGUGACCAAGGCUGGCAGGGUGGCUCAGCUCCAUUAGGUCGUUAAUGGACCCUGGUUUCUUUCCUCUUGAUGCUCUGCUAUACACCCUAGGAUACUUUCUUCAUUUGCAUAAAGCUGGGGCACUGCUGUGGGUUUGCACUGGCGCCAUCUAGCUCUGGGGAAGGGCAAAAUAGCAGAAGUAGAGAACAAAAGAUUUAUUUGUAAGCAAAUGAUGCAGAGGCUGCAACUAUCACUUGCACACAUAUUCCAUUGGUGAGAACUUGAACACACUUGGUUGUGGGAGAAACUGGGAAAUGUGAUUUCUGAUGUGGAGAGCAAAGGCAAAAAAAAGUGUAGAUAAAAUUAAAUUUCCUUACAACUUGCAGCCCACUGACAAAUACUUCAGACAGAGUAUGACAUUCCUCUGGGAACUCCCAACUGUCUUAAUGUUAAUACUUUACUAGUGGCAAAGAGGAACCUUAGCUUGACAGAAGCUAGGCCUCCAGGAUCCUGUAAGUCUUAACAUAAUGAAAAUCCUUUUGGAAACUUUCUUUGUCUCUACUGCCCCAACAAACUUAAAAGUAUAUAACUGGUUGUUCCUCACAAUCCCAGUGCAGCUCUUUCUGCCCACAGGUUCUGUACCCAUGCUUUAAUAAAACCACCUUUUUUUGCACCAAAAA